UUGAUGCUAGAUCCCAACAAGACCUGCACAAGGCAUUGGAGGAUAUACCAUUUUUAAAUUAUGCAGGAAUUGAUUAUUAUACUUGUUCCCCUGAGCAGGCCAACUCUCUUGUCAGCAAAGUUGUACAUGCAUACCUGUUUGACAGAGCAAGUCAAUCAUUUGAGAGAUUUAGAUGUGGACUGCAAACAUUGGGUGUCCUGGAAAAUUUGAGCAGUCUGAAAGAACUGUUCUUGGAGAAGAAUGUAACUUUGAAUAGGGUCAUAUUUGAGGAAAUCUUUACAUAUACAUUAUCUCCUGAAAUGAGCAACACCAGACAAAGGGAAACUGCAAUUGUCGCCCUGUGGCGAGACUUCUUAGAGGACGUAGAAAGUGGUAAAGCAAAAGUCACCUUUUCCAAAAUACUACAGUUCUGUACAGGGUCCAAAGUUAUUCCACCUUUGGGGUUUCAUCCGAAACCUACCAUAUCUUUUCAUUACCAAAGAUUUCCAAAAGGAAUAACCUGCACAAACAAUUUAAUACUUCCAUUACAAACAUGUGACUUUGAGGAAUUUGUUUUCAAUUUGGAGUUUGGAAUCCUCAAUACAGAAGGGUUCCUUUUGG